rnacentral:tRNA from 1 species
GUCUUCGUGGUGUAGUGGUCAGCACGCUCGGCGCGUACCCGAGAGGUCCGUGGUUCGAUUCCCGGCCAAGGCG